rnacentral:rRNA from 1 species
ACACUCCUACGGGGCAGCAGUGGGGAAUUUUGGACACUGGGCGAAAGCCUGAUCCAGCCAUGCCGCGUGCAGGAUGAAGGCCUUCGGGUUGUAAACUGCUUUUGUACGGAACGAAACGGCCUUUUCUAAUAAAGAGGGCUAAUGACGGUACCGUAAGAAUAAGCACCGGCUAACUACGUGCCAGCAGCCGCGGUAAUACGUAGGGUGCAAGCGUUAAUCGGAAUUACUGGGCGUAAAGCGUGCGCAGGCGGUUAUGUAAGACAGUUGUGAAAUCCCCGGGCUCAACCUGGGAACUGCAUCUGUGACUGCAUAGCUAGAGUACGGUAGAGGGGGAUGGAAUUCCGCGUGUAGCAGUGAAAUGCGUAGAUAUGCGGAGGAACACCGAUGGCGAAGGCAAUCCCCUGGACCUGUACUGACGCUCAUGCACGAAAGCGUGGGGAGCAAACAGGAUUAGAAACCCUUGUAGUCCCAUGAU